ensembl:lncRNA
CUACGAGUAUCCCUAACUCCAGGUUACUUUUCUCGCCCAUAAAAGUUUCACAUGUUUUUGUUAUGUCUCCAUUUGAGAAGGGCGUGAGAGAAGGUGAUAUUAUAGGAAGGAGAUACUGGUUUGGCUGCAUGUUUUAAUUCACGUGUUUCUUAGGAGAGAUAUACAAUUUUAAAAUAUCUGUCCGGUGAAGAAAAAAAUAGAAGAAAAAGAAAGGAAAAAAAAAGGUCAUUUUAUCCUUGCUCUCUCGUAAUGCAACACGCCUACAGUAUUCUUAAAGAAAGCGCCCUUGUGCUUCCAGGGAACUGUUGCAAGUGUAGUUAAAAGCACAUGCUCAGUCGGUAGAGAGCAGUUUUGAAAUGCCUAUCGGAACCGAUCGAUUUUAUCAAAGAUGCUCAGUUAAAAGCUCAGGGAUGUUGAUCUCAUUUAACCUCCCCUCGGCAACGCCAAGACGCGAGAAGCCACGUCUCGGAAAAGAGCAGGGAGAGUUGAGGGUCCCUUUGCAACAUUUCAUUUUACACCAGUUAAGUUAAACUCAGCAUAUUUGAUCAAAUAUUUAUUUUUCCCCUCGUUGUUUCCCUGCCCCAUUCAAUACUCGGCUGAAUAAAUCAAAGGGACCCCAGCAGCAGUUAAAGCGCCCUCUGGUUACGAAUUGUUUACUGACGGCCGCAGUUAUAGGAUAAUAUUUAAAAAAAACAAGCUUGUUUCUUACAAUAACUGUUUAUUAUUUCACAUGAUUUGGGUUUGCAUGUUUUGGAGGGAAGAGGCGAAGCCAACUCAGUGUCUACACUGUGUUUAAUUAAUCGUGUACUCAACUUCAGCUCACAUACCACAUCCAAACCCCUGGGAGGCUUUUUCAUAAGCUCUUUGGGUUUCUGUUUUGUUGGGGUUUUUUUGGUUUUUGUUUUUCGUUUUUUUUUUUUUUUUUGUCACAAUCUUUUCAUUAAAUGCUCUGAAAUCGAAACUUCAGGCCAACGUGUGUGUCUGAGAGCCAAGUUGUACCGCAACCAAAAAAGACAUUUGUGUACGCAUCCAGAUCUUUUUUAAAGGAAUGACAGCUACAAAAAGGGGAGAAGGGAUACAGUUUCAAAUGCUUAAUACAGCUGUGCGGCCCAUCUCUCACAGUAGAACGGGUACACUUAAAAGACGGACUCGGGUAUAUAAGAUUUCCCCGGCACAUAUAUAACCCGAUACCGCUGUUGCUUCUGCCCGGUGUUCGGGGCUCUCUGGACAAUAGAAAGCCCCGUUGCUCUCGCCAGUGCCGAGGAAUGGCGAGGAGACGAAGCCCUAAUGAACUGGUUGGAUGUAUUUUGUCCUGACGCACCCUAGAAUUCGGAGCUCGCCAGACUUACUUGCAAAAUAUGUUCCUAAUCCAAAUGAGUAAAACGAUACACAUAUACUAUAAAACAUAGUUAGGAGAACAAGCCUCCGGAUGGCUGGAAUAAAAUUAAAUCUCAGCCUAAUUUUUAACAGGAUAAUCCGCCAAAAAAGCCAACCUCACCACCACCACCACCAGCGUGAAAGAAUUUAUAGUAAAGAUAAAAUUAGUGGGGCCGUCAUUUGUCACCUAACUUGGCACAGACGCAGUUCCUAAACCUCCUGAUUGAAAUCCGCCUUCUUUGGAGCAAUUCCAAAAAAGAAAGGGGAAGCAAAAAAAAAAAAAAAAA